rnacentral:rRNA from 1 species
GAGUCCGCGUUUCAUUAGCUAGUUGGUGAGGUAAUGGCUCACCAAGGCAACCAUGGGUAGCCGAGCUGAGAGGCUGAUCGGCCACACUGGGACUGAGACACGGCCCAGACUUCUACGGAGGCACAGUGGGGAAUUUUGCGCAAUGGGCGAAAGCCUGACGCAGCAACGCCGCGUGCGGGAUGAAGGCCUUCGGGUUGUAAACCGCUUUCAGCAGGGAUGAAAAUGACAGUACCUGCAGAAGAAGCCCCGGCUAACUACGUGCCAGCAGCCGCGGUAAUACGUAGGGGGCAAGCGUUAUCCGGAUUUAUUGGGCGUAAAGCGCGCGUAGGCGGUUUGUUAAGUCAGGCGUGAAAUCUGGGGGCUCAACCCCAGCUUGCGUCUGAAACUGGCAGGCUUGAGUCUGGUAGAGGAAAGUGGAAUUCCUAGUGUAGCGGUGAUAUGCGCAGAUAUUAGGAGGAACACCAGUGGCGAAGGCGGCUUUCUGGGCCACGACUGACGCUAAGGCGCGAAAGCUAGGGGAGCAAACAGGAUUAGAUACCCUGCUCGUCCUAGCCGUAAACGAUGAACACUAGGUGCCGGACAAGGG